GAUGAACGCUGGCGGCGUGCCUAAUACAUGCAAGUCGAGCGAACAGACGAGGAGCUUGCUCCUCUGACGUUAGCGGCGGACGGGUGAGUAACACGUGGAUAACCUACCUAUAAGACUGGGAUAACUUCGGGAAACCGGAGCUAAUACCGGAUAAUAUAUUGAACCGCAUGGUUCAAUAGUGAAAGACGGUUUUGCUGUCACUUAUAGAUGGAUCCGCGCCGCAUUAGCUAGUUGGUAAGGUAACGGCUUACCAAGGCGACGAUGCGUAGACGACCUGAGAGGGUGGUCCGCCACACUGGAACUGAGACACGGUCCAGACUCCUACGGGAGGCAGCAGUAGGGAAUCUUCCGCAAUGGGCGAAAGCCUGACGGAGCAACGCCGCGUGAGUGAUGAAGGUCUUCGGAUCGUAAAACUCUGUUAUUAGGGAAGAACAAAUGUGUAAGUAACUAUGCACGUCUUGACGGUACCUAAUCAGAAAGCCACGGCUAACUACGUG
rnacentral:rRNA from 1 species